rnacentral:pre_miRNA from 1 species
CUGCCCCUUGUGGUGGAAGUCCAGUCCUGCCACAUACCGUCAAUGUCUUAAUGUUGCGGCCUGUACUUCUACCAAAUUCGGGCGA